CCUGGCGGCUGUAGCGCGGUGGUCCCACCUGACCCCAUGCCGAACUCAGAAGUGAAACGCCGUAGCGCCGAU
rnacentral:rRNA from 12 species